UAAUGCCGGGCACUCUGGAAGGACUGCCAUCGACAAGAUGGAGGAAGGUGGGGAGUGACGUCAAGUCAUCAUGGCCCUUACGGCCUGGGCUACACACGUGCUACAAUGGUCGGUACAAAGGGUUGCCAAGCCGCGAGGUGGAGCUAAUCCCAUAAAACCGAUCGUAGUCCGGAUCGCAGUCUGCAACUCGACUGCGUGAAGUCGGAAUCGCUAGUAAUCGUGAAUCAGAAUGUCACGGUGAAUACGUUCCCGGGCCUU
rnacentral:rRNA from 1 species